rnacentral:sRNA from 2 species
CGCCUUUUUGCUAUGCGCUGAACUCAACGAUUCGGACCUGCAGCAGGUUCGGGUCGAACGAAGUGAGACAACGGAGCCGCUCACGGCGACGGCCCGAAGGGCGAGGCGAAGCCGAGUCAUCCUGCACGACCCACCA